rnacentral:lncRNA from 1 species
CCGGCUAAUUUUUUUGUAUUUUUAGUAGAGACGGGGGUUUCACUGCAUUAGCCAGGAUGGUCUCGAUCUCCUGACCUCGUGAUCUGCCCGCCUCGGCCUCCCAAAGUGCUGGGAUUACAGGCGUGAGCCACUGUGCCCGGCCUCUUCAUUUGUUUUUAAGACAAAAUAUUGAUCUUGAAUAUCAGCUGUUAAUACAAGCAGAUUCAUGGACCUGUGAUAGCAGGUAUGAAAGCAUCGAGCACAGCACUUGGCUCUUAACCAGGAGCUGAAGACUUGCUUCUCCCUUUCCUUUCUUCCCGUGACCUCUUCUGACAUGUCCAGUUCGAAAUUGCAAUUUUUCUAACUUUGAGAUUUAAGAAAUUUUCUUAAACUUUAUAAAAGAACAAAUACAGACAACUGAAAACAAAUUAACGCUUGGCUUUUUUUUUUUUUUUUUUUUUGAGACAGUGUCUCACUCUGCUGCCCAGGCUUGCCUAGGCUGAAGUGCAGUGGCGCGAUCUCGGCACACUGCAACCUCCGCCUCCCAGGUUCAAGUGAUUCUCCUGCCUCAGCCGCCUGAGUAGCUGGGAUUACAGGCAUGCGCCGCCAUGCCCAGCUAAUUGUUGUAUUUUUAGUAGAGACGGGGUUUUUCCGUGUUGGCCAGGCUGUUCUCAAACUCCUGACCUCAGGUGAUCUGCUCGCCUCGGCCUUCCAAAGUGCUGGGGUUACAGGCAUGAGCCACCGCCCCUGGCCUAACACUUGACUUUUAAGGGGCCAAUAUCACUGUGAUUCUAAAAUUUAAGGAGAUGUUAAUGCCGGCCUCUGCAACUACACUUGGAAGAUCCUUCCCAGCAACUGACAACUUGGCCCCUCCACCCCUCCUUCCAGACCUUCCGUGGACACCCUUAAUCACUGCAAGAGCAGCCUGUGCCGUGCUUGGUGAGAUGGUAAACGUAUUUAUCUGAAGCUGGAAGAACACUUUCAGACAUAAUGGGAGCAUUCCCUCAUGGAGCAUGAGGGUGGCCUAAAUGACCUUAUCAGACAGUGGAACAGCUGAGACCGAGAACUGUGAUGGGUGAUUUGAAGAGCUUGGAGCAAGGCUCCACCCCAGACCUAUUGAAUCAGAAAUAGGACUUCACUUCGUUUUGCGAGCUCUGCAGGUGAUCCACAUCCUCUUUAAAGCUUGAAAUCCACCACCUGAAACUUCCUCUAUCUCUGCUUGAAGAUUCCUCAACUUCCACAAAGAAAGAUUUAUUCUUUUUACCUGAGGAAGACGGAGUUUAUAUUUCUGUGAAAGUGCAAAUACAAUGGCAUAACAUGCAAAAUACAUUAGGUUUGAAUAUGAUGAACCUGAUCAAGAAGAAAAAGGAAUCAACCAAACAAAACCAACCAAAACAAACAAAAACAAGACAUUGGGUAAAAAGAACAAGGUGCAGAACAGCUGGUAUAGCAUGUGCCUUUUUUAAACCAUAAAAAGGAAUAGUUGUAUGAAUAUUCUGGGUAGCUGCUAGGAAGACCUUUUAUAAUAUGUGUCAUACACACAUAAUUCUUCUAUUCAAAAAUAGAGUAAUUAAAAAUGCAAACAUUACAGAGAGAAGUCAUAUUAAGCCUCAUUAAUGUUAAAAGAUAAACUGAGGCACAUUAGAAUAUUAAGGAGUUUAUUUGAGCAAACGAUUCAUAAAUCAGGUAGCAUCAGACUUCAGGUGGCUCGAGGCUCCACCAAGAGGGCAAGAGAAGGCUUUAAAAGGGUUAAUUGGUGGCUCCUGAGUUUUAAAGCUGAAGUUGCAUUUUCCUAGAAUAUGACCAUUGAUACUUGGGUUUCGGUUUGCUUCUGUAGGAAUCCAGGGCCCUGGAGCUGGCUCAGCCUAAUGGCCUCUCCAUUAAUUAUCUUAGUUACUUAUACCUAGAGUGAAUCAUUUUAUCAAAAAAAAUUUUCUGAACAGCUUUUGAUUUGAGGAAGAACAAGUAGAAUAAAUGUCCUGAGGACUAGGGAAGCCAAAGAACGUGUGGAGGAGAGGCACAGGAAAGAAUCUCAGAGCCUUGAAGUCGGCAUUUGCCAACUUUACAUUUUUGUUCAAGGUCAGUCUUGACCUUGAUUUACAUUCCCAAAGAUGGAAACAAACCAGUGUGUGUUCUUCACCUGUCACCGACACUCGUUUAGAAAAUAAUUGGGGUCGUCCCGGCGCAGUGGCUCGUGCCUGUAAUCCCAGCACUUUGAGAGGCUGAGGCAAGAGGAUCGCUUGAGCCUGGGAGUUCGAGACCAGCCUGGACAACAUACUGAGAUCCCUGUCUCUACUAAAAAUACAAAAAUUAGCCAGGCGUGGUGGCGCGUGCCUGUAAUCCCAACUACUGGGGUGGCUGAGGCACGAGAAUCGCUUGAAUCUGGGAGGCAGAGGUUGCCGUGAGCUGAGAUUGUGCCCCUGUACUCCAGCCUGGGUGACAAAGCGAGACCCUGUCUCAAAAAAAAAAAAAAAAAAGAAAAGAAAAGAAAACAAGUGGGGGCGUCCUCACUUUCCCAGGCUCCCUCUAAUUGUGUGUGGGGGUUGGGUGUUUAGCACUCACAAGCUUCCGCGAAAUGCUGCCUCAAAUUAUCUUGUAGCCACCAGGUGGCAGCAGCAAUCCACUUUUUGGUCUAACCUGGGAGAGGCUGAACUAGGAUGGUUCUCCUUUAAUUAGCGUACUGGCCAUAGAAUCGUGGACGUUUAGACAUGAAAGAACCUUUCUCAAAAGUUCUGACAACUACAGAUGUUUAAACGGAGAAAAAAUAACAAACAUAUUAAGAACACUUCGUUGUUCACACAAUAAAUUUCAUCUAUUGAAGGGAAGAAAGGAAGUUGUAACAUCUACAAUGUGCUGGGCACUUUGUAUGUUAUCUCAUUUGAUUAUCAGUACAACCUUGUGGGAUGGAUACCAAUGCCUCUAAUUUACCGUGGGGGAAACUCAAGUUGGGAUAGGUUCAGACUUGUCUGAUGUCUCAGAGAAGUAGGUAACAGAGGCAUUUAAAAGUAUCAGACACUAGUCAAAAGUCUUGGAGUUGAACCACAGCAUGCUUUGGUGUGUGUGGGGUGGGAUUGAUCAGCCAAAUGGCAGGAUUUUGAUGGUGAGGGAAUAUGGUUAUUCUUUGAGGACCCUCUGUUUUAUGGCCCAGUACUUGUGCUAGUCACAAAAAAGUAAGAGGAUCAAGGGUGCCUUCUAAAUUUGAACCAUCUUGAAUAAUCAGGAGGAGCUUCUUGAAAUUAGAGGAGUCUUAAUCAGAGAGAGAAUCAUGCUCUGAAGAGGGGACAGAAUGCUUAUUUCUCUUUUUUCUUUUGAGACAGGGUCUCACUCUGUGGUCCAGGCCAGAGUGCAGUGGCGUGAUCGUGGCUCACUGCAGCUUUGAGCUUCUGGGUUCAAGUGAUCUUCCUACUUCAGCCUCCCAAGUAGCUGGGACAACAGGCAUGCACCAUCACGCCCAACUUAUUUUUGUAUUCCUUGUAGAGUCAGGGUUUCUCUGUGUUGUCCUGGCUGGUCUUGAACUCUUAGGCUCAAGCGAUCCUCCUGCCUCAGCCCCUCAAGCAGUGGGAUUACAGGCGUGAGCCACUGUGCCAAGCCAGAACACUUAUUUUUCUAAGAUAAUAUGAACCUGAAGUAAAUGACAAAUUUUAAGUCAUGUAAAGUGUCAGGGGAAAUAUUUAUUAGUGGGACGUUGCUCUAUACUUGUUGCCUUCAUAAUUAAAUAAUACACUGAAGUCUCUACUUUUUAAUAGUAUCUCUUCCUUCUCAUUAGACGAGAUGAAGAAAUUAUCUUCUCACACUUUCCUGCACCUCUUUUCUCCAUAAUUUCCCAAUUUGGGCUGGGUAAACUCUAUUUUUAUGUUGUCAAGGUUAGUAAUUUACGUUCAGUCCUAUAACUGUAAAUAAGAGCUUUGGUGGUAUAAUUAAACAAAGUAUUUGGUGAAGAACUGAGCGGUGUGGUUGGUCAGCAGGAAAGACAUGUCAUCCUCUGUGACUAACUUCAUGUCCUUAUAAGGACAAUCAUCAAGGUCAAAUGCAUCCUGUUCUCUAACAUGCUCAAAAUUAGGCAAUGUUUGGUUUAUUUGUGUGUGUACAUGGCUUUCUUGCAAACAUUUUUGUUUCUUUAAAGGUUGUAUUGGCCUUACCUUAUUUCAAUUGUUAGAGGAAAAUAGGCUCAUUUGUCAUAUCACUAGGAUAUGCCCUCUUGACCAUACUAUUUAUUGAAUGGUGCAGUGUGGACUCCUUAUGGCUUUGCUCUCCAUCUGUCACGGUGGGCUUUGUUUGCAUUGCACUGCUUGGCUGGCUUCCCUCUUUGUUAUAUCUUUGUAAGUUUCCUCCUUAAUUGGAUUUGUCUAUAUGUUUUGUUGAACAUCCUUAAUAAUUUCAGAAAUAGUGGUCAGGGAGUAUAUUUUCCAAAGGUUGGCAUGACUAAGAUGUCUUCUUGUUAUUCUCCUUUGAUUGAAAUUUCAUGAUGAAAAUGUUCCUUUAAUUUCUCUCAAUAGCUCAUAGUAAUUCCUUAUUUUUAUCUAGUACAAAUCACUAGAAUUAAUGUUAGUUGUGUCUUG